GACGAACGCUGGCGGCGUGCCUAAUACAUGCAAGUAGAACGCUGAAGGAGGAGCUUGCUUCUCUGGAUGAGUUGCGAACGGGUGAGUAACGCGUAGGUAACCUGCCUGGUAGCGGGGGAUAACUAUUGGAAACGAUAGCUAAUACCGCAUAAUAGUAGAUGUCGCAUGACAUUUGCUUAAAAGGUGCAAUUGCAUCACUACCAGAUGGACCUGCGUUGUAUUAGCUAGUUGGUGAGGUAACGGCUCACCAAGGCAACGAUACAUAGCCGACCUGAGAGGGGGAUCGGCCAAACUGGGACUGAGACACGGCCCAGACUCCUACGGGAGGCAGCAGUAGGGAAUCUUCGGCAAUGGACGGAAGUCUGACCGGGCAACGCCGCGUGAGUGAAGAAGGUUUUCGGAUCGUAAAGCUCUGUUGUAAGAGAAGAACGAGUGUGAGAGUGGAAAGUUCACACUGUGACGGUAUCUUACCAGAAAGGGACGGCUAACUACGUG
rnacentral:rRNA from 1 species